CAGCCGCCGCGGUAAUACGUAGGUGGCAAGCGUUGUCCGGAGUUAUUGGGCGUAAAGGGCUCGCAGGCGGUUUCUUAAGUCUGAUGUGAAAGCCCCCGGCUCAACCGGGGAGGGUCAUUGGAAACUGGGAAACUUGAGUGCAGAAGAGGAGAGUGGAAUUCCACGUGUAGCGGUGAAAUGCGUAGAGAUGUGGAGGAACACCAGUGGCGAAGGCGACUCUCUGGUCUGUAACUGACGCUGAGACGCGAAAGCGUGGGGAGCAAACAGGAUUAGAUACCCCCGUAGUCCCUGUCUCUUAUAC
rnacentral:rRNA from 1 species